UACGUAGGGUGCGAGCGUUAAUCGGAAUUACUGGGCGUAAAGCGUGCGCAGGCGGUUUUGUAAGCCAGAUGUGAAAGCCCCGGGCUUAACCUGGGAAUGGCCAUGGAAACUGGCGAGCUGGAGUGUGGCAGAGGGGGGUGGAAUUCCGCGUGUAGCAGUGAAAUGCGUAGAGAUGCGGAGGAACACCGAUGGCGAAGGCAGCCCCCUGGGCUAACACUGACGCUGAGGCACGAAAGCGUGGGGAGCAAACAGG
rnacentral:rRNA from 1 species